rnacentral:rRNA from 1 species
CCUACGGGAGGCAGCAGUGGGGGAUAUUGCACAAUGGGGGGAACCCUGAUGCAGCGACGCCGCGUGGGUGAAGGAGUGCUUCGGCAUGUAAAGCCCUAUCGGCAGGGAAGAAGCAAGACGGUACCUGACUAAGAAGCCCCGGCUAACUACGUGCCAGCAGCCGCGGGAAUACGUAGGGGGCGAGCGUUAUACGGAUUCACUGGGUGUAAAGGGAGCGUAGACGGCCAUGCAAGCCAGGGGUGAAAGCCCGGGGCCCAACCCCGGGACUGCCCUUGGAACUGCAUGGCUGGAGUGCGGGAGGGGCAGGCGGAAUUCCUGGUGUAGCGGUGAAAGGCGUAGAUAUCAGGAGGAACACCGGCGGCGAAGGCGGCCUGCUGGACCGCGACUGACGUUGAGGCUCGAAAGCGUGGGGAGCGAACAGGAUUAGAUACCCCAGUAGUC